GAGCCUGUGUUUUGUACCGCCGCGCCGGUAAGCAUUGACUCCGCUAAUAAGCAGAAUAUUAUGCAUAUCAAUCACAUUUAUUCGAUUCAAAACUAAAAUAAAACAUUCAAAAUUUAUCUCCCCCGAGGAAGCAAAAUCCUACAUGUGUCCGCGAUGCUUACUAAUAGGUACAAUAAUAUUACUAACUGAUACCUGCAUUGAACACUACGCCUACUCGAAAACGUCAAUAAACAGUAGAGACGUUGAAAGAAAACAAACUACUUUUACAUUAUUAGCGCUAUUUUAUGAGCGUCAUGUGUAAUUCAGAACCUAUAUUGGAGCUUCGUACGGAGUGACCUUCUUCAGCUGUUUUUACGUAUUCUACGAAUUGUGCUGUGGCCGCGUCCUGAUCCAGACGAUCGUCGAGGCGUGUUCCCGUCCUAGGCUGCGACAGCAAAAAGUCUGAAGCGCAGAAGGAGUUGGACCCGCGAAUCCAGGGGUGUGGCAUUUAAUUUCGGGGACGAGUAAGGAUGUGAGACCGAGGGCGAAACCCACAACCACAAACUUUAUUUUUUAAUAUUAUAUAUUUAUUUUUGAUAA